CAGGUAGGCGUCCUGUCAAGUUUCAGGUGAAAUCCUGCGGCUCAACCGCAGAACUGCCUGAAAAACCUGUCAGGAUUGAGGCCGGAAGAGGAGAGCGGAAUUCCCGGUGUAAGGGUGAAAUCUGUAGAUAUCGGGAGGAACACCAGUGGCGAAAGCGGCUCUCUGGUCCGGCUCUGACGCUGAACUGCGAAAGCUCGGGGAGCAAACA
rnacentral:rRNA from 1 species